GACCUGGUGGCCUAAGUGGUUAGAGCGUCCGCCUCGGAUACAGGAGGUCGCGGGUUCGAACCCCGGCUGAGUAA